GAACCGGACAAACGUUAUUCGGAGUUAUUGGGGCUUAAAGGGUGCGUAGGCGGGCUUAGUAGGUGGGGGUGUGAAAUCCCUCGGGCUCAACCGAGGAACUGCGCCCAAACCACUAGGCUAGAGGGAGACAGAGGUAAGCGGAACUGAUGGUGGAGCGGUGAAAUGCGUUGAUAUCAUCAGGAACACCAGUGGCGAAAGCGGCUUACUGGGUCUCUUCUGACGCUGAGGCACGAAAGCUAGGGUAGCGAACGGGAUUAGAUACCCCGGUAGUCCUAGCUGUAAACGAUGAGCACUUGGUUGAGGGCCCCCCCAUAGGUUCUCGGCCGUAGCGAAAGUGUUAAGUGCUCCGCCUGGGGAGUAUGGUCGCAAGGCUG
rnacentral:rRNA from 1 species